rnacentral:lncRNA from 1 species
CAAGAGCAUACAUACCGGGAAAGGACUGACUUGUAGAUUGUUUCUAUCAAGAGCAUACUCACCAGGGAAGGACUGACUUACAGAUUGUUUCUAUCAAGAGAAUACUCACCAGGGAAGGACUGACUUACAAAUUGUUUCUAUCAAGAGCAUACUCACCAGGGAAGGACUGACUUACAGAUUGUUUCUAUCAAGAGCAUACUCACCAGGGAAGGAC